GGUCUUGUGAUGAUGGCGUUGUAGGCCAUCGGAGCAUGGACUAAAUGGAAGGGAGUGAUUUCUGUCACCUGCUUUUGUUCUGAGUCCAAAAUUAGGGAAAGAUCAACGAUUCAUUCUGGGAUGAUUGUUCUACCCCCGAAUCCUUGGAGUGGUGUUUUGACUGCCUUGAACUGGUUAAUAGAAAUACCUAUCCUUGUGAAAGCCUCUUAGGACAGCACAUUGGUCGCACUUCCACUGUCAACCAAGACCCUCCUUACUUUAAAGUUGGCGAUGAUAACAGAUAUGACCAAGGCAUCGUCAUGGGGGUAUGAUAUGUCUUCUAAUUCCUCCGAUCCAAAUGUGAUAUCUUUCAUGUCGUUGGGAGCUGUCAUUGAUGUGGAACUGUGUCGUCGGGCAUACUGUUUGCGCCAACUAUUUGAAUCUCCUCCCGAGGUAAUCCCACUGAUUAUAAUGUUGGUACUUGCUACUGACUGGUUACCUCCCCCGUAUUCUGUAGUCUUCCCAUUGUUUCGAUCAUUUCUGGGACGCUUGUCAUGCCUGAUAUACUCUUCAGGAUUCCUCUCUUUAUCAAAGCUUCAAUCUCACAUCGCCAUGUUAUGCAAUCCUCUAUUGUAUGCCCAUGGUCAUGGUGGUAGUUGCAGUACUUGUUCUUGUCCAUGGUCUCAGGGGAAGACCUCAACCUCGGUGGCCACUUGAACUCCUUCAUAUCUUUGAUUUCCAUCAAUAUUUUUGACCUAGAGGUGUUUAGAUGUGUAAGUGUUGGUGGUGUGCCCUGCUUCUGCUUUCCUCUGGCAAGGUCUUGUUGCAGAUUCAGCUCACGCUGCCUCUUAUUCUCGGCCCCAUUAUAAGUCGGACCAACUCUCCUUGGAUUCAAUAUUUCUUCC
rnacentral:lncRNA from 1 species